rnacentral:misc_RNA from 1 species
UCUCCGUAGGUGAACCUGCGGAAGGAUCAUUAAUGAGUUGUCAUGGGGUUCGAUGCUGGCAGCCGAUUUUUGGAUGCAUGUGCAUGCCCUAACAAUCAUCUUCCAAACACCUGUGCACAUUUUUGAGGGAGUCUUGAGUUGGUUGCCGCUCUUGGGUGAUUUUCUCACAUUCCCUUAAAUCAUUAUACGCUAUUAACAAUGUUGAACGUGCUCUGUGCCGCAAGGCUAUUAAUAUAAUACAACUUUUAACAACGGAUCUCUUGGCUCUC